GUUGGUGUCUCAAAUUAUAUAUAUAGGUAUAUAGUAAAAGGACAUAAUAUUAGAAUUAGA
rnacentral:sRNA from 15 species